UGAAAAUUGUACCCAUUGGAGAUACAAACAAAUUGGUACGGAUGUUAAUAUCAACGUAAAAUUGUUAUUAAUAUAAUUUUUUACAUACAGGGCGAGUCAUAUAACGUGACGAUCUCAAAUAAAUCGUAAGGUAUUUGUUGUACGACAAAAUGUUUCAAACAAAAGUUUCAUGGUAUCUAGGGGGACAUACAGUGCUGUAAUCUGUUUUUCAUUACCUUACUUUUUUAUUGAAAUAUUAGGGUUAUCUUCAGUUUUUUAACUGGAAUGUCUAAUAUUUUUUUUCGAAUUCGGAUAAAUCAUCAAAUUUUGCGUAAAAAAGUAUUACAUGAAGUGGGACUUGAAGUGAAAAAUUACUGAGAUAUUUCUAAAAGAAGUUUAUGAGCAAUAGCUGCUAAGGUUGAAGUACGACAUUCUUCAUUAUUCACAACUUUGUGAUACCUUUUACGUUUCUGUACAUUAAAAUUGCCAUGUUCUGUGAGUCCUCGACUAAGCCUUAAGAAGGUAGAAUGCGAUGAUUGAUUUCGAUCAGGAUACUUAGCUUGGUACAAGAUCUUAGCUCUUAUAGCAUUUUCUUCACACGCACCAUAGACAAUUAUCAUAACGUUGUUUCACUGUUACUGAACAUCGUAAGAAAAAUGUAGCACCUUUCUCAAUACGACUUUAACGCUUACCGAGAUACUAAAUAGGCAUUUCGUGUUGAUGAUUAUUAAUAUUUAACAGGGAACUUGUUUACAGACAUGACCUAUCGACGUGAAUAAAGUCGUGCUAAGAAUCACGUUGACUAAGCGUAUUUCCUAAUAGUAGAUUAUUAAUUUGAAGAUAUCUCAGUAAUUAUUCAUUUCAAGUCCCACUUCAUGUAAUACUUUUUUACGUAAAAUUUGAUGAUUUAUCCGAAUUCCAAAAAAAAAAAAAAAAAUAUUAGACAUUUUAUUUAAAAAAGCGAAGGUGACACUAAUAUUUCAAUAAAAAAGUAAGGUAAUAAAAAACAGAUUACAUCACUGUAUGUCCCCCUAGAUACCAUGCAACUUUUGUUUGAAACAUUUCGUCGUACAACAAAUACCUUGCGAUUUAUUUGAGGGCGUCACGUUAUAAGACUCACCCUGUAUAUUUCUAAGAUACGAUCAAUUUAGUAGAAAUUAAAAUUAAUAUAUCUAUCUUGAAAUCCUCUCACAUAUGUUUUUUGAGCACGUUACUUAUUUUUAUUUUUCGUAGAUUCCCACGUUUCGUAAGAAUCCUCACAGGAGACACACGAGUCAAUUUCCGCGCAUGAAGUAAUCCGGUGCAUCGUAACGUGGAUCACGUUUGCCUCUCUAGGUACUUGCACGAGUAUUAUGGAUUUCUAAACCCUUACGAAGCGCACACACGUGUCAUGUGUACGCUAUAUAUUUCCAUGCAUCCGCAAAUGGUGUGUGCACGGUUGCCUCGGCACAUCAGCGUGAAUCGAGCGCGGCUGAAGGCUGCAAGUGUCUCUUCCUUGGGAAUUGCGGCAACGAAACGAGCGAAACUUCUCCAAUCGGCCUAAUCUUACGCCAGCGAGUUCACCAUUUCAUAGAAACACGUUAAAUUCGCAAUUCUCCAAAGUUCGAUGAACACUUUGUUUAAUCAAUUUCCUCAGAUCACGUAGACCGUAGAUCCUCACGUUUGAGUAAUGAUAAUCGCAUGGGUAAGUUAAACCGACCGCCGGCGCCGCACCGUCGAUAAAUGGCAACGCGCUAAUAGCAAAAUUAGUAACAAUAAAACAGGCAUAACUCGCGAGGAACUCGCAAUUCGCAGUAAUGCACGCCGCGGCUGUUCGUAUCUUAGCAUUUAUUCAGAAAGCUCCGUGCAAAUCGCCGCGGCGUACGAAGCAUCUGGAGAGCCGCGAUCUUAUCUCUCAUAAAAUAUUAUCGAGGCACCAUCUGCCAGUUACGCAAAAUCCACCGUGGAAACAUUGCGUUUAUCCAUUCUGCAAUGUUGCAGCCGCGCGGAAGUAACCCAUUCGAGAGAUUAAAGAAAGUAAUCGCUUAGGAGAGUGUACAUCCCUGUCCAUAAAUAUGUGGACACUUAUCACUUUCAAUGAAUAAUUGAUAUACAACCUAAAUUGUUACUAUACAAUUAUGUUUACUACUGAAUUCUAUUUCGAAUAUACAUUUAAACUUUUUAAAUAACUAAAAUUUUCGAAUUGUAUAUGGUCGUUUGUUGAAGCUUUCUUAUCUCGCUUCACGAUAAUUGUAUUGCUCGUACGUAACCCUCACAUUUCACUAGAGUAAUGCAUAUAUUUUAGUUCACGAUGAACACAAAACAGUUAAGAGCAUAGGACAACUCUGUCAUUUAACGAAAUCGGUUUUACUUGAGCAGGUCUAAGAGCACUAUGAGUACGAAACAAUAAAAAUUAAACAUAACAAUGGUUUCUCAAAUAGUUACGAUAUCAAAGUAAGAGAAUUCCAUACGGGACCAUGCAGAGAAACUGAAGUUGUCAAAGUCCUGUGUCAGUUAUGGUAUAUGAAAUAAGAUGCUACAAGAAUUUAUUCAUUGAUUAAGUGAUCAGGUAGGCUUAACCAUUUCAAUAUGGAGGAGCUGACCGCGGUUAUUCAUUCGUGAUACAAGAAAGUUUCCCACAAGAGUGGUUGCACCGUACAGCAACGUAAGCCGCGAAAACGUGUUUUCCGGCAUUCAUAGAAAUCUCAAGCGUGAUUGACACUAAACUUUUGUAGUUUUGUAAUGCAUACUACAGAAAGUAAUCAUCUCGUUUCGUGGUUACCGCCAAUAGGCGGCAGUUGAACCCAGAGAGCGUUACGUGUAUGUCGCCUAUAGGCGCCAGUAGUACCGAAAGGGUUAAAGAAACUACUGCAAUGAAAGAUCGUUUUCUUUAAAGUCUAAAUAAUUCAAUUAUACGAAGCAUUGCUUCUAAGAUAGCCGUAGAAAUAAACAACACGAGGGACAAUACAAUUUUGUUAAGAACCAUAAAAAGAUGUCUCGCUGAGACCAGCAUUCAGAGUUGUGCAGUUAUGAAAUCUUUACUAAACAAACACAAUGAAAAAAAAAAGAGGUUUUAGUAAGUCAAAAGAUGUGAAAAUUGAAUUGAAGAAAAUUAAGAAAAGAAACUACGGUAUCUUUUAAAUGAAAAAGUUCGAAAAAAAUAUCCAAUAUUUGAAAAACAUUUUUGUAAAAUAUUACAAAAUAAAUACAAUAAUAUUACUUCGGAUACAAUGAAGAAAGUAAUAGCUAGGAUACCAAGAUUAGUAAAAGAAGUUUUUAAGGGUGCAGGGUGGAUACAUCAAUUGUAAAAAGAUAUUUUUUCCAAUUGAGAAAGUAUCCACAUUCUUAUGGACGGGAAUGUAUACAUCUUUGAAUCGUUUCCGCUGAUUCUGUCUCGCUCCGUUUUCCUGUAGAGAACGGAGGAGCAUUCCUGUUCACGUUCAGUGAAAAAUUUACGGAUUAAUAUUCGUCGGAUGCGAGCUGCUCCGUAUUUAAAAAGGAAAACUUCCACUACUCCGCAGACCAGGAAACGAAGACACGGAAAAGACGACGAUUUUUCCAACUUUCGGGAUAAUGAAACUGAGCAAGGAAAGUAGAAAAAGACAAGGAAAAGGAGGAAUGAGGGGAAUGGGUAAUCAUCGCUUUUCUCGGACGGAUAGAACCUCACAAGUUUUCUUCGUUUUUUUCUAGCUAUGGCGCUUUGGCUGGCAGCCAUGGUUUUCGUCUAUCUCGAUUGCGCCGAGUGUGCAACUAAUAUUUUGGCCGUUUAGGGCAAGGAUUCGAACCGCUGCUGAACCCUAACCCAAACCCGGGUAAUGAAGAGAAGGUUACUGUAACCCAUACUAACCACGAACGAACGGUUCUUGAAUUGUAGGAAGAGCGGGUUAACCUGCUCGGAGUGAGUUACUAGUAGAAGAAGACAUCCUAGACAUCCAGACGAGUCAAAGAUAUGUGAACUUACAGGCAAUAUUCAAAUCAAAUGAAACUAGAUUGUUUACAAUGUACGAGUAUAUAAUGAAUGUAGGACACACACGUUCACUACACGUUCUAAGGCAAGACUGACGAAUGUUUAUCAUUCGCCUGAUUGUCACAGUUGCUAGUCUUGGGGUUCCCAGAAAACUCAUAACAUGUCCGGUCAAAAUAGAGAUUCCUUCAAGUGACUGUUUAUGCCAAUACAUGUACUAUUCGUCCGCAAGAAGAAGGCUGGGCAAGUGUUUACGUCCCCGUUCUGCUACAUAAGUACAGUAAACGAGUAGUAAAUCGAGUAAAUGUAAGCACUCGCAUGACCUUCUCGCGGAUGGGCAGUAGAGUAGAAAACAAACAAUAUUGAAAUAAAUUUGAUUACCGUUUAGAAAUAUGGUAAUAACUAUGGUUUUUACUGUAUUAUUAUAACGCGCAUACAACCGGGUUAACCGGGUUACUCGGGUUACAGAUGUCUUGUGUUACCUGGUUAGAUGGGUUAUUCUAUAAUACGAAGUACCGGAACCUUUUACGGGUUAGGGUUCGAAUUCCCAGUUUAGGACCGUUUAAGGCUAUUGAGGUCCAGUGCGGAAGAAAGUGAUACAGUAAAGACUGGAUAAGUGCAUGAAAAUCGGGACUCAAACAUUGCAGUUAUCCAGUCGAGGCUUCUAUUCUGUGUUUACAUUUGCCUCGAGUCAAGCGUCGGACAUAGAAAAGGAUAAAGAGUGAGAGAGAAAGAGGUCGAAGGAAAGAAAGCAGUCUGCAGCAAUAUUUGUUCGAUCGUUUUCGCCCUUUAACCGAGAGAAGGGUUAGCGAACGGGUUCACGAGCGAAUUUUUCCGGCGUGUGACCUCUCCGAUGCGAUAGUCUCCACGUUCGCUUGCGAAGAUAGAAAAGUUUAGCUACUAAAAGCACAAAGUUUCGUCCACUGGAUUAUAUUUAAUAAAAAAACUUGGUCUCUAAUUGCACAGAAUUGUACUUUCCUUAUGGUCCGAAGCACCGAGCUCGACAAGUAAAACCGAAGCACGAAUUCGUAGAAGCGAUUUUUACUAUACGAUAAGACGUACAAGAUAGGACGUGUAUAUGUAUAUUUAAAUAUAAACAAAGACGUUGGAUGUACUAUCAUUUUUCCCCCACUAUUACAUACUCGUAUGUACAUGUAUUCUUCUGCCCAUAAAGAAUAUAUUUGUAAUUUGAAUUAUCUUCAACUUCAAAGUAAAUCUGUCGUGGUGCUUCCUGAUAUUGUUAGUAUUUGUUUUCUUAUAAAAGUUUACAAAUGAUUGCAUUUUAAAUAUUAUUCUUUUCGAUA